rnacentral:tRNA from 1 species
GUGAAUAUAGUCUAACCAAGACCAUAGGCUGUGAUCCUAGAAAUGGGGGCUGACUCCCCCCUAUUCACC